rnacentral:rRNA from 1 species
UUUUAUGGAGAGUUUGAUCCUGGCUCAGGAUGAACGCUGGCGGCGUGCCUAAUACAUGCAAGUCGAGCGAACGGACGAGAAGCUUGCUUCUCUGAUGUUAGCGGCGGACGGGUGAGUAACACGUGGAUAACCUACCUAUAAGACUGGGAUAACUUCGGGAAACCGGAGCUAAUACCGGAUAAUAUUUUGAACCGCAUGGUUCAAAAGUGAAAGACGGUCUUGCUGUCACUUAUAGAUGGAUCCGCGCUGCAUUAGCUAGUUGGUAAGGUAACGGCUUACCAAGGCAACGAUGCAUAGCCGACCUGAGAGGGUGAUCGGCCACACUGGAACUGAGACACGGUCCAGACUCCUACGGGAGGCAGCAGUAGGGAAUCUUCCGCAAUGGGCGAAAGCCUGACGGAGCAACGCCGCGUGAGUGAUGAAGGUCUUCGGAUCGUAAAACUCUGUUAUUAGGGAAGAACAUAUGUGUAAGUAACUGUGCACAUCUUGACGGUACCUAAUCAGAAAGCCACGGCUAACUACGUGCCAGCAGCCGCGGUAAUACGUAGGUGGCAAGCGUUAUCCGGAAUUA